UGGGGAAUCUUGCGCAAUGGGCGAAAGCCUGACGCAGCGACGCCGCGUGGGGGAAGAAGGCUUUCGGGUUGUAAACCCCUUUCAGGAGGGACGAAGCUCCUCAGGUUAAUAGCCGAGAGGGUGACGGUACCUCCAGAAGAAGCCCCGGCUAACUACGUGCCAGCAGCCGCGGUAAUACGUAGGGGGCAAGCGUUGUCCGGAUUUAUUGGGCGUAAAGAGCGUGUAGGCGGCCUGGUAGGUCAGUUGUGAAAACUCGAGGCUCAACCUCGAGACGCCGAUUGAAACCAUCAGGCUAGAGUCCGGAAGAGGAGAGUGGAAUUCCCGGUGUAGCGGUGAAAUGCGCAGAUAUCGGGAAGAACACCCGUGGCUAAGGCGGCUCUCUAGUACGGUACUGACGCUGAGACGCGAAAGCGUGGGGAGCGAACAGGAUUAGAUACCCCCGUAGUCC
rnacentral:rRNA from 1 species